rfam:Candidatus Pacebacteria bacterium RIFCSPHIGHO2_01_FTLL_46_10 rifcsphigho2_01_scaffold_120350, whole genome shotgun sequence.
GCCGAGAUGCUGGAAUGGUAUACAGUCCAGUCUCAAAAACUGGUGGGCGCAAGCCCAUGAGGGUUCGACUCCCUCUCUCGGCA